GCGUGCCUAACACAUGCAAGUCGAACGGGAAUCUUCGGAUUCUAGUGGCGGACGGGUGAGUAACGCGUAAGAAUCUAACUUCAGGACGGGGACAACAGUUGGAAACGACUGCUAAUACCCGAUAUGCCGCAAGGUGAAACCUAAUUGGCCUGAAGAAGAGCUUGCGUCUGAUUAGCUAGUUGGUGGGGUAAAGGCCUACCAAGGCGACGAUCAGUAGCUGGUCUGAGAGGAUGAGCAGCCACACUGGGACUGAGACACGGCCCAGACUCCUACGGGAGGCAGCAGUGGGGAAUUUUCCGCAAUGGGCGAAAGCCUGACGGAGCAACGCCGCGUGAGGGAGGAAGGUCUUUGGAUUGUAAACCUCUUUUCUCAAGGAAGAAGUUCUGACGGUACUUGAGGAAUCAGCCUCGGCUAACUCCGUGCCAGCAGCCGCGGUAAUACGGGGGAGGCAAGCGUUAUCCGGAAUUAUUGGGCGUAAAGCGUCCGCAGGUGGUCAGCCAAGUCUGCCGUCAAAUCAGGUUGCUUAACGACCUAAAGGCGGUGGAAACUGGCAGACUAGAGAGCAGUAGGGGUAGCAGGAAUUCCCAGUGUAGCGGUGAAAUGCGUAGAGAUUGGGAAGAACAUCGGUGGCGAAAGCGUGCUACUGGGCUGUAUCUGACACUCAGGGACGAAAGCUAGGGGAGCGAAAGGGAUUAGAUACCCCUGUAGUCCUAGCCGUAACGAUGGAUACUAGGCGUGGCUUGUAUCGACCCGAGCCGUGCCGAAGCUAACGCGUUAAGU
rnacentral:rRNA from 1 species